rnacentral:rRNA from 1 species
GACGAACGCUGGCGGCGUGCUUAACACAUGCAAGUCGAACGGAAAGGCCCUGCUUGUGGGGGGUGCUCGAGUGGCGAACGUGUGUGUAACACGAGAGUAACCUGCCCUUGACUUUGGGAUAACUUGAGGAAAGUGGGGCUAAUACCGGAGAGGAGCUCCUGCUGCGGGGGGGGGUUUGGAAAGUUUCGGCGGUUGGGGAUGGACGCGCGGCUUAUCAGCUUGUUGGUGGGGUAGUGGCUUACCAAGGCUUUGACGGGUAGCCGGCCUGAGAGGGUGACCGGCCACACUGGGACUGAGAUACGGCCCAGACUCCUACGGGAGGCAGCAGUGGGGAAUAUUGCACAAUGGGCGGAAGCCUGAUGCAGCGACGCCGCGUGCGGGAUGACGGCCUUCGGGUUGUAAACCGCUUUCAGCUGUGACGAAGCGUGAGUGACGGUACUGGGAGAAGAAGCACCGGCUAACUACGUG